AGCGAACGCUGGCGGCAGGCCUAACACAUGCAAGUCGAACGAACUCUUCGGAGUUAGUGGCGGACGGGUGAGUAACACGUGGGAACGUGCCUUUUGGUUCGGAAUAACUCAGGGAAACUCGUGCUAAUACCGAAUGUGCCCUUCGGGGGAAAGAUUUAUCGCCAUUAGAGCGGCCCGCGUCUGAUUAGCUAGUUGGUGAGGUAACGGCUCACCAAGGCGACGAUCAGUAGCUGGUCUGAGAGGAUGACCAGCCACACUGGGACUGAGACACGGCCCAGACUCCUACGGGAGGCAGCAGUGGGGAAUCUUGCGCAAUGGGCGAAAGCCUGACGCAGCCAUGCCGCGUGAAUGAUGAAGGUCUUAGGAUUGUAAAAUUCUUUCACCGGGGACGAUAAUGACGGUACCCGGAGAAGAAGCCCCGGCUAACUUCGUG
rnacentral:rRNA from 1 species